AGCCACAGCAAUGCUAUAUCCAAGCCGCAUAUUUGACCUGUACCACAGCUCACAGCAAUGCUGGGUCCUUAACCCAUUAAGCAAGGCCAGGGAUUGAACCUGCAUCCUCAUGGAUACCAGUCAGGUUUGUUACCACUGAGUCAUGAUGGGAACUCCUUUUCUGUUCUUUUCAGUGUUUGCUGGGUUUGAACUCAAGGUUGGGGGCUUUUAUAACAAAAAUACAGGAUUUUGUUUUAAUUUACACAUAGCCUUUGAUGUUGCUACACAUGGUGACAUACAAUCUUUCUUGACUUAGAUAUAUUACCACGUAUGUAACUUCAGAACAAUUUCAAAGACCCUCACAAGAUAAGAUGCUCUUUUUCUCCAAGGUGGUAUUUAAUUAGCAAAUGGGAAAAGGUCUGUAAAACAUAAUUUCACAAGUACUGGAUUGUAAGAAAAUGCCAAACUUCAUGAAAAUAUGGGAUGAAUAGUCAAUUUUUAUGAGUUAUUAUCACUAAUUGCUGGUUUGGAUAUCACUGAAGUCUUCCAGAAUUUUUUAAAAAGAGAGAGAGAAAGGGAGCUUGCUGAUCUAAAUGUGCUUUCCAAAGACCUUAUCAAGAUGAUAAUACUUCAAGUGUUUUGCAGGAUAUAAUACAAAUGUGGAAAAGGCAAAAAAUGGGUUGGGUGAUUGCUGCUCACAGAGCUCACUGUGUAAACCUCCUUGACAUGGGCAGUGUGUCUCUUAGUAGAAUUAAUCCUCAGGCCAUGUUGUCAGGGUGUUUUCUGGCUUGGUGUCAGUUAUGAACUCUAACUCCAGUUAAUAUGCUAAUUCAAGGUAGUAAUCCUUCCCGAGUUACCAAAAUGCAUUUUAGAAAUUGGCAAAAGUCAAAGCUGGAGAGGCAAGAUAAAGUAAAAUGCUGAUAAGUACAAGAUGCUGUAAAUCUUUUGCUUAAAUGGUUUCUAUAGCUCUUGGGAUCAAAGUCAACAUCUUUAAGAUGAUCCAGCAGCUCCCUAUUUUUGGUUGUACCACUCUAUCCUUGGCUUGCUGGCCUUCAGCUGUACUGGCUUUCUUCCACCAUAGUGUCUUUGCCCAGAUCGCUGCCCCUUGUCCACUGACUUUCUUUCUUUUUUUUUUUUUUUUUUUUUUUUUUUGUCUUUUUGUCUUUUGUCUUUUGUUGUUGCUGUUGUUGCUAUUUCUUGGGCCGCUCCCACGGCAUAUGGAGGUUCCCAGGUUAGGGGUUGAAUCGGAGCUGUAGCCACUGGCCUACGCCACAGCCACAGCACCGCGGGAUCCGAGCCGUGUCUGCAACCUACACCACAGCUCGCGGCAACGCCAGAUCGUUAACCCACUGAGCAAGGGCAGGGACCGAACCCGCAACCUCAUGGUUCCUAGUCGGAUUCGUUAACCACUGCGCCACGACGGGAACUCCUUGUCCACUGACUUUCUAACUCCCUCUUUCCAUCCUUCAAUCACAGUGUGAAUGUCUAUUUUUCAGGAGAUGUCCACUCUUCCAUAUUCAAACUAGGUAGUUUGUUCUCUCUGUUAUGUGAUCUCAUAGGACCCUUAAAUUUUCCAUGAUGACAUAUACCACAAUUGCAGUUAUGCUACUAUAUGUGCAAUUUUUUUAAAGGCCUACUCUUCUAGGCUUUAAGCUCUGUCCAAUUCAAAAAAAAAAAACAUUGUUAAUGGAAUGAAUAAAAUGGAAAAGAGAUAUGAGUCAGAUAAUCCCAUUAGGCACCUAAUACUUUACCUGUACUUUCUCUAAGAGCCCCUUUUACUAAUAUUGCAAUUACUUGUUUUUGAAACUGUUUCACCCACUGAAUUGUGUGACCUUCAGGCAAAGGGUCUUUAUCUGCCUUCAUGCAUAGCUCAGGGCCUGACACAUAUAAAACAGCUUAAAGAUAAACUGUUUGGAGAAAAAAGGGAGGAAGACGUGGAGAGAGAAGAUGGAUGACCAGAAGGAAGUAGAGAAGGUAGAGAUAUGGGAAAAAAUAAAAAGAAAAUAACAAAGGAUAGCAUUUCUAAGGACCCAAGACGGUCAAAAUCUAAAGAAAUUUUAGUAAGUCCUUAAAAAAAGUUAGAUGAAAUACAAACAUAAGAGAAAAUUCAUGAUUAAAACCUUCCUUUGGAAGAGGAGAAGGCUUAUGCAACACUUUCGGCAUGCAUGCCAAACAAAUUCAGCAUGCUGACACCAUAUUAUAAAUAACACUGAUUAAAAAAUUGUUUUCACAAAGAGAAGGCUAAAAUUCCUUCUGGUAAUAUUCCCAUUAAUAAUAAUUUUGAUUUCAGCUUAACAUUUUCUGGGGGGAAGAAUAGAAAACUUCAGAGGGCAUUUAAAAUAGUUAGAAACCAAUGUACUACCGUUGUUGGUAACAAUUCCUGGGAAAUUAUGUGAUGUCACUUGCUUUGAACAUGAGGACCAGCUGUAAGUGGUACAGAAAUAUGACCAAUGACUAAACGUUCACAUGCAAAACCCAGACUUGUUGAAGAAAACUUCUUAGGCAGCACCAGUUUGUUAGGCUAAAUUGUUGGCUGGUUUUCAUUGAAAGUGUGAAAAGACACUGCACUAUGCAAGAUGGUGGUAAGCCAGCCAUCUGAUUAUUAGCUGAAGGACUCUCACCCAAAAAGUUGCUGCGAUGCCAGAACUUUCAACUAUAUGUUGUAGUUAUUUUAUAGUUGAUAUUCUGCAUUUUUAUAAGAUGUGUUCAAAAUGCAUUUGGCGGGAGUUCCCACUGCGGCUCAGUAGUAACGAAAUGGACUAGUGUCCAUGAGAAUUCAGGUUCGAUCCCUGGCCUCACUCGGUGGGUUAAGGAUCUAGUAUUGCUGUGAGCUGUGGUGUAGGUCACAGAUGAGACUCAGAUCCUGAGUUGCUGUGGCUAUGGCGUAGGCCAGCAGCUGCAGUUCCAAUUUGACCCCUAGCCUGGGAACUUCCAUAUGUUGCUGGUGCAGCCCUAAAAAGAUCAGGAAAAAAAUGCAUUUAGUUUUUCUCAAAAAGACUUCCAUCAGCUAGUAUUCUACACUUUUUAUUUAUACUAACUUACCCAAGACAAUAUAUUUGUUUACUGUCCCCUUCUCAGAAGAGAUGUAUUAUUAACAUGUUUCAACUUCUUGGUUUCAUUUUGUUUUGCUUUUUAUUCCCAGGACAUACACUUUUAUUGACAAUCUUAUGCCUUUGGGAGGAAAAAGGAAAUUUUAUUAAAUCUGUAAGUGUUUUGUUUAUGUUCAAGAAGAGAUAUUGGAGUAUGUUGGUUUGACGGAGUCUCUUGUGUCAAGCCCAGCGAGUCUCUGACAUUAGUCAGAUUUUUUGCCAAAACCAAGCCAACGCCAACUAUACUCUGCACGUAGCAGUAGAAGAUAGCAAUGCUGAUACUAACCACUGUCCAAAUGGUGACAUUUGAGUCCUGGGUCAUAGGAAUGAUACCUCAUAGAAAGGCUGGUAACUAUCAAGCAAGCAAGAUCACCCGACCCUAUGUCUCUAAUGCCAUGAAUUUUACUCCUAAAAUAUAUUUUGUAUCCACCUGUUACCCAUGCCUUAAGCUACUACAGUGGUUUCCUAACUAGGCCUCCAGCUUAUUUUCUUGACCUCUUCAAUCCAUCCUUCACAAGGUAGCCCAAGGGAUCUUUUAAAAACACAAAUCUGAUCACAUCACCUUUCAGUAAUGUUCCUUGCACUUAAGUAAAACUUUUUAUCCGUACCCUUAAAUAUCUCUCCAUCCUCUGCAAACUCAUCUUUUAUUACUUGCCAUCAGUAUCCUAUUUGUUUUCAUCUUAAAAUUUAAGGUUAGAUAACACUAUGUACACUUUUACUCUGGUGUCCUGACUCAUCCUGGGUCACUCAAUCACAGUAACUGUGGCACCUACUGAUUGAGGUCCACCUCCUGUUGGCUCUAAAGGUCAGCAGAAGAAGGUAGAAGGCUUUUUAAUUUAUUUUACUUUAUUUUUUAUGGCCACACCUGCAGUAUAUGGAAAUACCCAGGCUAGGGACUGAAUCUGAGCUGCAGCUGCAACCUAUGCUGAAGCUGCGGCAAUGCCAGAUUCUUUCACCCACUGUACCAGGCUGGGGAUCUAACCCACACCUCCAUAGCAAUUUAAACAACCCACUGUGCCAUAGUGGGAACUCCUGGGAUGCUAUUUUAGAUGGGGGUGGGGAGAGCCAUUUGGAGGGUCUUGGUUAAGGUAUGAUCUCAUCCAAUUCACAGCUUUGAAGAUUUUACUUUGGUUUUGAGUGAAGAAUGGCAGCAGGUUAGAACUACUCUAACAGACUGUAAGAUCUUUAAAACCUAAUACCAUGCUCUGAGGUAGAGAGAGUAAUAUUUCAUUGUUGAAUGAACAAAUAAACAAAGAAGAAUUAAAACAGCAGAAUCAAAGAAUGAGUCAAAACCAGGGAUGACUUAUAGCCCACUGAAAUUUACCCUGUGUCCAUUUGUGACCCUUCCAGUCAGAAAUUAGGACCCCUGACCACUUCUGUUCUGGAUGUCAGCCAACCUUGUGCUCUCAUUUCAGACAGAGUGUAUUUUCCGAUUUAUCUUAAUCCUCCUACCUUCCGUAGAAGUACAUCACCGAAACAUUUUACUCGGGGGAGGAAAGAUGGUAAAUGAUCUCUCCAAACAUCCCCUUUAAACUUCAUCUGAUGAAAGCAAAUUUCCAAACUCACACAUCUGACUGGGAACUAAUGGUGAUAAACCAAUACCCCACUUCUCCCAGUGAGAUCUCAGAGGUGACCCUUGCGUCUGCCAUUGCUGAAUGAAGCUUGUAAUACACAGACAAGAUCCCUACCCUCAUUCGCAUUUCAAUUUCCAACUAACUAUAACCCAGAAGGCAGAAGUUGCUCAAGUUCAAAUAGGAGAUCACUGUGGUCCCUUAAGUUUUCCACCAGCCUCUUUUUCUUUUCUGAAGCUUCCUUUUUUCACUUGUGACAUGGAUGCCUCUCCUUGAUUUGCAAAUCUCCUUCCAGGGGCUGUCUAAAUAGCAAGCUUCUUUGAUCUAUAGUCCAGUCAAAGGUAGGAUCUGUAUUUCCAACAUCCAGUGCAGGCUGCCUCCCUGUUGACAUUAAUCUUCUGCCUUUGCCAGGUCUAGACAAUAGGGGUUGGAGAGUGUUAAUCUAAAGAUUCACCAGACAUCAAGCCAUAAAUCUGCCCCCGGGGUAGGUAGACUUGUGGCAUUUUCUAUCUGCUCCCCUAAGAAGUCUCUAGGCUCUGUUUGAUUCACCAUUGCCUUUGCCCUGAGAGAUUGAAUUACACACAAUGUCAAAAUCCAGUUUCGUCAGAACAUUUCACAUGCAGCAAAGCUGAGAGUGAGAACAAAAGCACUUCAGGAAAUGAGUCAGAAAACUGAAAGGGAGACAUUGAGAAGAUAUGAUAUUUAGAUGUUUUGCGAUGUUUUGUUUUCUAAUAGAGUAAACCAGGGGCCUAUUUCUUAUCUUAUAAUCUCAUCGCUCAUGAGUGAUGUUGACAUUUUUCUACCUGCAGUAUCCAUAGGUGCUUUCUAACAAAAUCUAUGUUUGGAUGAAAGUUCUCAAUUAGCUUCCAAAGGAUAAGGUGUUUACAAGAGAAUGCUACCAAUGAGCUGGAUCUCUUCAGGAUGUUUUUACAAAAUUCAAUUGUUAAAUAGUAAACCUGGAAACUUUUCUAUAUCCAAAGUGAUAGAUUAGGUUAACUGUGCCCACAGAAUCAAAGCCAUCACUAUAUCUUGUCUGUAAGCACAAUUGAUAAAUGAUUUCACUUGCAAAGUGAUUCCAUAUUUUUUGUUUUGACUUUUGUUUCCCCUGAGAUUAACUGGACUGUCAACGUGUGUGGCUAUAGGCUUAAAAAUCAUUUUUUUCUCACUUUUUUUUUUGCAUCAAAGAAAUCUUGUAAUAAGUUACUUCUCUUAACCAUUUCUAUUUGUCCUGGCUUAAGAAAACAUCUAUCUUAAAGUGCUGGUCCUAGGGACAAACUAACAACUAGAGAUAACUUCCAAUGCAAGAGUUUUACAAAGAGUAGGCAAUGCUCUGCAGCAAUUAGAGGGAUUCUUUCUUGCACCUCUCCUGAUAAAGUCUGUGUUCUCUUAUCCUUGAGGGUUCAUCUAUAUGUUGCCAUUACUUAAAAGGGAUACCCUGGCAUAUACAAAAAGAAAUGUUUCAUUUCAUGUGUGGAGAAUGAGUUGAUAGCAGCUUCUAUGUUUAGAAGGAUUCUGAGGCUCCAUCCUUCCUUAAUAGAAUGUCAAGAUUAUCAGGGCU
rnacentral:lncRNA from 1 species